rnacentral:lncRNA from 1 species
CUUGUUUCAAAUCAGCGCCCCCUGCCUCAGCCUAGUACUGGGAUUGCAAACAUGUCACCAGACUCAGUGACUUAAUAGUCUAGCUGUAAAUAAUACUUAAUGCUAGCUCAGGUACCUGCCAGAAAAGUGUGGUGAGCUUCCCUGAAUAUGCCCUCUGUCCUUCAGAGUGGACCGAUGUGUUUACAUAAAAAACAUUUACUUGGGGGCAGGGCACACGGGCCAUGGGGUUCGCGUGGAGGCCAGAGGACAAGGUCCUCUCUCCACCAUGUGGCUCCAGCAAUGGAAGUUGGGUCAUGGGUCUCAUUGUUUCUUUUAGUCCUGAUUUUAUCACGGUGACAGAGAAGGAAGCUGAGACAGUAAGCUGAAAACAGGAAGCCUUCUUUCUGUCUGUUUGAAAUGCAGCCAAGCCCAGCCUGGAGGGUCCACUCCAGAUUCUAUGGAGCCUACAUUCAACAGCAGCCGUGGGAGGGAGCAAUUCUUCAUCCUAACUCAGUCUCCAGGAGUAUGGUUGUCAAGAGAAGGCAAGAACGGUGCUGCAGAGAGCCAGUGACAGCCCCACCCUGAAGCUGGCUGGAAGGAGUCAGGAGUACCACACCCUCAAGGCCCAGCCUUCAAACCCCGCCCCCCCCCCCCCGUCCCGUCCCAUCUCCUAAAGUCCCACAGCCCCCCCCAACACACACACCCUAAACUGCAGGGUGGGGACACAGUGCUCAGAAUGAGCCUGUAGGGGAGCAUUCCAGAUUCAAACCACUGCACAAACAAAAAAAUAAUAAAAGACGAAAUUAAUGAAAAUGAAUACAAAUGCAGUCAGUGAAUUCAGAGAACGGGUGUGCUGAGAAAUGCCGGUGUCCUGGAGGUUCCGGUGGAACGAGACCUCACCGGAGCACAAGAGAGAUACGGAGGACAAACCCUGGCACCUAACACCGAAAGGAGAGUGGCUUUAGAAAAAGGAGAAAGGGGAAAUAUGUAUAAAGGGAAAACAAGAGUUGAACAAUUAAUUAAAGAGCAUUUUCUGAGCCUCAGAAAGACUUGAUUAAAGGGGCUGAUAAAGUUCCAGGAAGGAUUAAUUAAAGAAAGGCAUAUACUUAGACAGACCCUGGUGUAAUUCCAGAAUUAUAAACUCCCAGACAA